rnacentral:rRNA from 1 species
AGAGUUUGAUCCUGGCUCAGGAUGAACGCUGACAGAAUGCUUAACACAUGCAAGUCUACUUGAACUUCGGUUUGGGUGGCGGACGGGUGAGUAACGCGUAAAGAACUUGCCUCACAGUUAGGGACAACAUUUGGAAACGAAUGCUAAUACCUGAUAUUAUGAUUUUAGGGCAUCCUAAGAUUAUGAAAGCUAUAUGCGCUGUGAGAGAGCUUUGCGUCCCAUUAGCUAGUUGGAGAGGUAACGGCUCACCAAGGCGAUGAUGGGUAGCCGGCCUGAGAGGGUGAACGGCCACAAGGGGACUGAGACACGGCCCUUACUCCUACGGGAGGCAGCAGUGGGGAAUAUUGGACAAUGGACCAAAAGUCUGAUCCAGCAAUUCUGUGUGCACGAUGACGUUUUUCGGAAUGUAAAGUGCUUUCAGUUGGGAAGAAAAAAAUGACGGUACCAAAAGAAGAAGUGACGGCUAAAUACGUG